AUCACCAAUUAUGUUAAGGUAUGUCCCAAAGUAGUUUUGAUUUAUACUUAGUCUUCCUAUGAUUAUGUAUAAUGAGUAAAAGGAUUUAUAUUCACUCCUUUAAGAGACAAUACGGCCCACUUACUCUGUCUAAUGGCAGACGAUUUUACCCGUCAAGGGGAGCACACUGUGCGCAAACAAACGAUCUUAUGUAUACGCUGUCUCUAUAUCGAUGAGCUUAUUGUAGCUCUGGGGCAAAUCCAAUUAAAUAUGUUUAUAUAUUGACACACUGUCAAGUUUUUUUAUAUUCAACUAAGACCUGGAACCUUAUUUUUCUUAUAUACUGUAAUUCUUCAUUUCUUUAUUUUGUAGAAAAAUGUUCAACACAUCACUUUAUACAACGAAAUAUGUUCGACUAUUAAUUGAAAUGAUGAAUGAUGAUAUGUGUACACGAACUUCAUUGUGGUGUCUCCACUAUUCUGAUCACGGGCCGGAAUUGACGCUAUGAAUUGUUCGUGAAUUUGUAUGCCAGUCAAUUAAUAUUGCUAUUAAAGUGGAUUUGUUUGCGAUUUCACAAGUUCCUUGAAAUACGACUGUUAAUUAUUCGAGGACAAGACUAACGUAUAUUGAUUAUCCUUCAUUAUUGGUACCCUUACAACGAACAUUGCCAUCUCUACUGGACCGAGUACUGGUAAAUCAAUGAAAUUGAACUAUCGACGCUUCAUAAAAAAUAAACAUUAUAAAAGCUUACAGAAAUGGUUUCCAUGCAUUAAAGAACUUGCCAAAUUUGCUUUGUUCAGAUGCAAGAUUUGUUCCGUGAUUAUAUAAUCAUAAUUCAUACUCACA